UUCUAUCUACCUCAUUUGUAGUUUUCAGUACAUUGUAUUAUAACUGUCUGCUUCCAUCUCUGGGUAACCUACAGUCAGAAAUAUUUUAGGGCAAGAACUAUAUUUUAACCUCUACAUCCCUGGCACAAGCACAAUACAUGGUACGUAUUAGGUGCUUAUUAAAUGGUUUGUGAACAAAACAUACCUGAAUACCAAUCCUAAAGAGUGGCAAUUCUAUUGAGUCAACACGACCUGGGUUGAUGAGCUAAGAGGAUGCAGGACUUACUAGUCCCCUUAUUGAUGCGUACAUGCCUUCAUUCAUAAUUCUAAGAACACAUUCUUAGUAAAUACAUAAUGAUGUAAGAGGUAGAAUUACAGGAUGUCCAAGAAAGGCCCAAUUCCAUCACUGGUCUCACUAUGUUAAUUUCUGCAUAUGGUGACAUUCAAGGCUGGGGUCUUUUUGUGGAUACAGAGCAAUAGAGUCUUCAUAUAGAUCACCUGUCUGAGCUAAAUAAUAUAAGCAGACUAGGAGAUAUCAUUGCUCAUAAAAUAGCGAAAAAUCUACAUGAGCGCCGGGAAAUAUUAACAAGACAAAUAAACCUGAGGAUUCUUAGCAGAAAAAAAUCCAGAGAUCAGAUGGACAGACCACCUAAAUAAGACACUGGGAGUAAUAAUUACCCAUUAAACUACAGGGACCAAACAGCUGCAUAUUUCGGCUUAAAUGUCAUUUAAAAAGCAGUGAAGAUUAGCAAAUACAGUGAAGAUUAGCAAAUACAUCCUCAAAAGGUAAAUCCCUACAAAUACCAUGCUAAGAAGGCAACCAUGGUAGUUUACUACAUAGCUGGGUUUCUAAAAAUUAUAGUUCUCAGAUAAAAUUAAAAAUACCAACAGUAAAAGAAAAAAACAUUGAGGAAAACAGACAUAUACAUAAAACGACAUGAAAAGUCACAGAUGCAUGCCAGAGUUAUCCGUGGCCCGCCUAGUGGCCGGUAUGGUUGCAGACAUACAGGGCUUGCAGUAAACAGCUCCUCUGGGGCAACCUGUUUGACAGGGAUCUGUCCAUGAUUAGAGAAGCUGUGGUAUCAGAUAGAGACAGUGCUGUCCUGGGCAGAAGGAGCAAAAGCAAGAGCUGUGGGUAAAUAAAAGUAUAAAGGGCUUUGCAGGUGGGAGGUCGGGGCUGGCUAAUUGCGGCUACCCACUAAAGCAGGAGCAAUGGGGGCUGGGCCGUCUUGCGUUGAAGGGCAUGGGUCAAUAGAUUUCAAGAAGUAGGUGUGUUCCUUGGCGACAGCCCACAGGUGGCUGUGAGGGUGACUCCGGAAGGGUUUUCCUGGCUGAGUUCAGCUGCUGACUUGCUGCAAGGGCCAAUUUGCAGGGCUGGGCGCCAGGGGGUGGUGGCGGCCUUCAUGACGGGGCAAAAGCAACAGAGCACUUCCUUCGAGCCGGAAUCGAACCAGCGACCUAAGGAUGUCCACGUGCGUCAGGCCUACAGUCCUCCGCUCUACCAGCUGAGCUAUCGAAGGGUGCACAGUGGCAAGUGCUGGGUCCUUCGUUUUUCCUGGAAACGACAGAGGCCAAGGCUCUGGAAGGCCCCGGGUGCAAUAUGCCCUAGGGAGACACCAGGACGACAGCCCUCGGUGGCCAGAAAGCCAGUAAGAGGGUGAAGGGAGGGGGGGCGUUGGUGAAACCCAAACGGAUGAGUGGGUCGGGUGGGGGCGGGCUUGCGGAGGGAAGCAGGAGAGAAGAAUGCACCACCAGGCAGGCAGGGUCGCUGAAGGGCCCUCGAGGAGUUUCUGAGCUCGCCCCCCCGCCCCACCCAAUCACAUACACGCCCCCUGGUGCUGGGGCGUCAUCAUCCGCGCAUUUAACCUCGACCCGACCCUGUUGCCCGCCUGGAGCUGGGCUCGUUUUUCUGCGCAGUGAGACUUCCUGGAAGUGAGGGAGAAAGGAUGUCCCCAUAGGUACCCAGCCGUCUGGCCCGCUGCGACCCGUCUAGGGACGUGGCUCGCGUUCUCUGCCCACAGACCCGGAUUCCUCUGGCAGAGGCGGGUGCUCCCUGAAGCAGCUCAAGAUUCUGUGGGCUUCCUGGACAGGCAGAGCACACCGUUGUCCAGCUCAGGUCGCACAGAAGUACGGCAAGCCACACCCAAGUCACCUGCCCUCCGAUGCCUGUGUCGCCACCCCUGAUCGGGAGACCAGCAGGUCUGCACCUGCGAGGAUGAGGGCCAUGUCUGCGGAGGUCCCCUACUGCCCGCUGUGAGGCCCCAGACAGGAGGAGGUGGCCGUGCCGGGGCUCACCGGGGUGUGUCCAAGUCUCCAGAGUCCACCUCCCAGCCACAGGCACAUCCUCCACCCCUGUUACAUCCCCCAAACACCAAACCUAGUUCCUCCAAACCUGGGAAACUUCUGUCCCUCUCUCAAGGAUGAGGGCGAGAGAGAGAGAGAGAGAGAGAGAGAGAGAGAGAGAGAGAGAGACGAAGUUGGAGAGAGAGAUGGAUGGAGAUACACAGAGACUGCAGUUGUUGGGCUAGACAGAAGAGAGAGGCCAUGGACCAUCGUAGGACUAGGCAAAGUAGGAAAGGGAAAUUGAGUGGGAGGGUUUUCAAGAAGAAUGCCUUGGUUGUCCGUGACGCAUGUGAUGGCCCGUGUGCUUGUUGGGCUCCAGGGCUCGCGGUGGGCAGCUCCUGUAUGGCCACAUGUUUGUCGGAUCUGUCCACGUUGAGCAAAGUGGUGGUGGCAGAGGGAGCGCUGCUCUCCCUGAGGAGAGGUGCGAGAAUAAAAGUGUUAAGGGCUUGGGAGGCUGACGGGCUGGCUGGUGGGGGCAGUCUGCUAAGGCAGGAGCAAGGGGAUGUUGUGGACUGAGGGGCAUAUGUCUGUGGACUUCAGGAAGAAGGGGUAAGUGGUUCUGGAAGGGCUUUGUUGGCUUUGUCCGGUGAGAAUGAGGAUGCUCUUGUAGUGCAAGGGGAAGGGCCAAUUUGCAGGGCAGAAGCAGAGGGCGUGGCCCUCAUGAUGGGGCAAAAACGAUUAAAGCACUUCCUUCGAGCCGGAAUCGAACCAGCGACCUAAGGAUGUCUACAUGUCAUCAAGUCUACAGUCCUCCGCUCUACCAGCUGAGCUAUCGAAGGGUGCACACCCAUGUUUCCACUGACAAGCACUGGAUCCUUUCUUUUUGCAGGAAUGGUGGAGACCAAGGAACUGGAGCCUCACCGUUCCUCAAAGAGGAGCACCGCCUCUAAGUGCCUCCCCCCAUGCCCUCCAUCCACCCCAAAUCCCGCUCCCAGUUCUGUACCUCCCUCAGCUCGCCACUCACUCCAGACAGGGGCCGUGGUGCCCACCUAAACCUAGUUUUACUUUUCCGUGCAGUGAGGGCACCUGGGAAGUGAUGGAGAAAGGACGUCGGGCUAGGCCUGUCUGGGGACUUGGCUCGCGUUCUCUGCCCACAGACCCGGAUUCCUCCGGCAGAGGCGGGUGCUCCCUGAAGCAGCUCAAGAUUCUGUGGGCUUCCUGGACAGGCAGAGCACACCGUUGUCCAGGUCGGACCUCUCGCCCUCACUCCGCGUCUUUGACAAACGUUUCAGAUCCCAUCUGGUGCGUGCCCGCCACCUGACACCACUCGCUCACCCACCCAGCUCAGGUCGCACAGAAGUACGGCAAGCCACACCCAAGUCACCUGCCCUCCGAUGCCUGUGUCGCCACCCCUGAUCGGGAGACCAGCAGGUCUGCACCUGCGAGGAUGAGGGCCAUGUCUGCGGAGGUCCCCUACUGCCCGCUGUGAGGCCCCAGACAGGAGGAGGUGGCCGUGCCGGGGCUCACCGGGGUGUGUCCAAGUCUCCAGAGUCCACCUCCCAGCCACAGGCACAUCCUCCACCCCUGUUAUAUCCCCCAAACACCAAAGCUAGUUCCCCCAAACCUGGGAACCUCCAAUUUCCAUGGCGGGUGGAGGGCAUGGGCACAUCCAAUGGAAGCCUUAGAAGCUCUCUUUGGUCCCUGUCCACUGGUCUCUGCAGAUGGUGACAUUCGAGGCUGGGGAAUCUUAGUGGCCACAGAGCAGUAGGUUCCUCCUGAAGGGCUCCUGUGGGAAAGCAGUGGCACUGCCCCCUGGACCCUGGAAACUCCACAGCCCCAGGCUCAGCUCCUCUUGGUCAGCAGUGGGGCAGCAGGGAAGAUUGCUGCUGCAGAGGAGACCUGGAGAUGAAGAUAUGCGGGAAACGCAGUCUGGAUGCAGAGGCAGAACCCGAACCAAAAAAGGAGCUCGUGGCCGCAAGGGUCAGGGGAGGGCAGGGGCUGGGCCCCAGGGCCUGCAGAGAGCCACGCUCCCAUCACCGUUCCUCUGACAGUGCUUUCCAACUGUAUCUCCAGCCUUCGGGAGUUUCCCUCCCACAGGAGAGAAAAGGGCAAGGGCCACUCCUUGGCUUUCCUCUCUGCACCCACAUGCCCUGACAACCCUCCCCCAACCAGCAGCAUCCCUGAAACCCGGCUCAGUGGCGGUGGAGGGAGGAGGGUGUGGAAGGCUGCAGCCUCAGCGGCCCAGCACUUAAUUCAGCCAGCUGGUCAGAAGGCACGGGCCAGUGGCCUGUGUCAGGAGGACAGUUGUUGUGCCCCUCCAGGAUCACACAUCCGGCCACCAAGCCCCAGUCCCGGGCCCUUUCUGCUCCCUGCCUGCAGCCACCGUUAUCUGCCCCCCACCCCCGGCCUUUUCCUACUCUCAGGUCUCUUUCUCAGGUCUCAGCCUUUCCUUUUGCUCACAAACUCCCUUCCUCUCCCCAUCUCCCCCUCUCCCUUGCAGUCGCUCUCCCUCGGUCUCUCUCUGUCUCUAUCUUUAUCUCAGUCUCUAUUUCUCUGUCUCUCCAUCAGAAGUAGCAGGGGAAUUGGUACAGGGGUUUUUCCCACAAUUGUACAGAGUGUGAGCAAUCGUUGCUCUUGCAGAAGGAACUCAAACCUUCCUACGGCAGCAAGAACAGGUGUGAAAUUUCGAGGAACUGGAAGUUUUCCUGUGGCCUCGGCCUUGUUCUCUGACUGACAGGAGACCUGAAUGGGGCCUCUGAAGUUUUCAUUGUGACGUCAAGCCUCCUCCCCUGUCCUGAGAGCCCUGGUGUCUUUUGCUCCUGCCAAUGCCAGAGGCUCUUGGCGCAGGCGCACAAUUGGCAAUGGCUUGGCAAAUCUUAGGGUGGCAGUCCUGUCCCACAGUACAUAAAGCAAAUGGUGAAGGGUUUCUGUCUCCCUAAGUUUAUAUAUUUAUGAUCAUUCAAGAGAGACACAGAAAGAGAGAAUGAGUUCGAGAAUGAGGGAGAGAGAGAGAGACAGUUGGAGAGAGGGAUGGACAGAGAUACACAGAGACUGCGGUUGGGCUAGACAGAAGAGAGAGGCCAUGGACUAACGUAGGACUAGGCAGAGUAGGAAAGGGAAAUUGAGUGGGAGCGUUUUCAAGAAGAAUGCCUUGGUUGUCCGUGACGCAUGUGAUGGCCCGUGUGCUGGUCGGCCUCCAGGGCUCGCGGUGGGCAGCUCCUGUGUGGCCACAUGUUUGUCGGAUCUGUCCACGUUGAGCAAAGUGGUGGUGGCAGAGGGAGCGCUGCUCUCCCUGGGGAGAGGUGCGAGAAUAAAAGUGUUAAGGGCUUGGGAGGUUGAAGGGGCUGGUUGGUGGGGGCAGUCUGCUAAGGGUGUCUUUGGUUGAGAAGCAUGUGUCUCUGGAUUUUAGGAAAGGGACAAGUGGCUCCAGGAGGGCUUUGUCGGCUUUCUCCUGUGAGAAUGAGGAUGCUCUUGUAGUGCAAGGGGAAGGGCCAAUUUGCAGGGUAGAGGCAAGGCUGCACUAGGCAGUGGUGGGCUUCAUGAUGGGGCAAAAGCAUCAUGGGCACAUCCUUCGAGCCGGAAUCGAACCAGCGACCCAAGGAUAUCCACAUGUAUCAGGUCUACAGUCCUCCGCUCUACCAGCUGAGCUAUCGAAGGGUCCACACUGGUAAGUGCUGAGUCCUUCCUUUUUGCAGAAAUGACAAGAGGCCAACGCGUUGAAUGGCCCCAGGUACAACAUGCUUUUGGUUGGCUGGAAGGCCCCUAGGCAAGGAGCGGUGCAUAUGCUGGCUCCGCGGUUGUCAGGCAUCCUGGGGCGGCAAUUUUCAGAAUGCCUGGGACUGGACAGUCACCUGUUGACUCAUUUCCUCUACCCCCCCCACCCCGCCCUGUCCCUUUCUACACGGAGUGGGGGGAUGACGCCCAUCCCAGGCCAGAAAGCCAGCAAGAGAGUGAGGGGGAAGGAGACGUCGGGCAAACGGAUGCGUGGGUUGGUUGGGGGCAUGGAGAGCAGAAGAUGCGUGGGUUGGUUGCGGAGGAUGGAGAGCAGAAGAACGCAGCCCACAGGGUCACAGAAGAUCCCUUGAGGAGGAGCACAGCCUCUAAGCGCCUCCCCCCACCCCACCCAUCCCACCCCAGCCCUCGGCCCCGGUUCUGUACCCCCGUCACCUCGCCACUUACUCAAGACCGGGGCCGAGGUGCCCAUGUAGACCUAGUCUUACUUUUAUGCACAGUGAGGCUUCCUGGGAUGUGAUGGAGAAGGGAUGUCGGGAUGUUGGGCCAGGCAGGCCAGGGGUGGAGGGAAGGCGGUGGGGGUCGACGAUGACACCACGCCCAUAGGUACCCAUCGGCCUGGCCCUCUGCGGCCAUCCUACGAACUUGGAUCCCCUUUUCUGCCCACAGAGCAGAAUUUUUUUCAGUAGCUGUUUCUCCAGCAUCCAUCUUCCACUCCCUGCACCCUUCAGUUCCCUUCCUUCAGCCUGCUUUGUUUUCCCCACCUCCUUCCUGCUACCAGGUGUAUUUCUGAUCCCUAAGCCUGUGUUUUUCUCUCAAACUUUUCCCCUUCUUGUACAUCUGUGUCUGUUUCUCACUUUCUAUCUCUCAGGGUGUCUGGCUCUCUUUUUUGACUUUUUGGUCUGAUUUUUCUCUGAAACUUUUUUUCACUGUUUCCUUCUUUGUUUCUCUCUGUCUCUUUCUCUUGCUUUUUGUCUCUUUUUUUUUUUUUUUCUGUCUCUCUAUAUUUCUACUUCUAUAUCUCUAUGUCAGAAUUUGCAGUGCAUUUGUUCCUGAUUCACCUAGUUUCGGCAGUCAUUGCUCUUUCAGGUGGAACUAACACUUUCUGGGUGCAAUGAGAGCAGUGUAUAGGGCAAUAGAUAUUAUCUGAAGUGCAGGCUGAGAGAAGCCAGUGGGAAAAUAAAGGGAGAGGUCCAGAGGUUUAAGAAUAGUUAUCCUGGAUGUGUUUUUAAUUAUGUAUGCUCAGAUUCUCUUGGGCUUUUGCUGCAAGUUUCUUUUACUCUCCAGUUUUGAAGAAAUCUUUAAUGGCAAUCAAAGAAAUUUUGCUAGGAUGCAACUUAUGUAUCCCUGGAUUUAAUUAUUAAUAAAGUACUACAAUUGGCUCACCGAUUGUAAUGAAAUGUAUUAUACCAAUACAAUUUGUCAUUGGAAGGGAAAAUAGUGGAAGAGGGGCAGUGAGAACAUAUAUAUGAGAACAUUCUUGACACUGUGCUCACUUUUCUUUUACAGAAAACUGCCUCUAAACAGAAACAGUAUUAACUGAAAAAUUAAUAAAUUGAUUUUGUCCAUGUAUAUUCAUUCAUGUGUAUACAACUACUGGAAAGAAUGCUCUUGGGUAAGCAAUAAAGGACGGCAUCUCGUGCACAGUUAGAGGGGAUGGUCUUAGCUAGGAUCUUGGAUAGGUCAUCCACAGUAACAGGAGGAAGAAAAGUACUCAGAUGCCUGUACAUGGGUACCUUGUAGAUGUUCUCCUGUGAAUGCUUCUGUUUUCUUAGUGAAAUAGAAAGCUGAGAGUGAGAAUGUAUGCUGAGGUAUUGCUAUUUUGAAGACACAAGAGAAGGGAUGAAAGAGUAGAAGUGAAGGGAUUGAGAAAAAUAGUAAGAUUGUUAUGCAUAUGCACUUGAGAUUAUUGUCAUGAAUUUAAAUUGAGACCAUUUCAGCAUCACUGGGUUUCUCUUCAUUCUAGUUCAGCUAGGUGAGGGCACGUAUUGAAUGCUUACAUUAAAUAAAGAUUGCUGUUUUGUUAAGUGAGUUUUUCUAAGCAAAAGAGGGACGAUCAUAUUCAGACCCCUAGAUCAAGAAUUUAGCCAGGAACUUGAAACUUCUCUUGGUGAUUCGUUUGAAGGACAUGGGCCAUCUUCUCUCCUUCACCACCUCCUGAAGGUGCUCUCUCCUUUGCCUAAAGGUGCUCUCUCCUACUAAAGGUGACCUCUCCAAAGGCACACUAAGAAAGGGGCAACACUUUGAUUCAACCUGGGUUGCAAUGGACAUCAAAUUCCACCCAUCUACUCUCUGGGACCCCCAAGAUAUGGGCAAAGAUCCGAAGUACACUGUACUUACAGUUCAAGCCGUGAAAAUAUCUCAUAGGAGUUCAUAUUAUGGGUUAAAACAUUCUCGGGAUCUUUGAGAGCAAACUGUAGGGGCAGUGAGCUAAUUUUCCAAGUUAGUUGUCAAAGAUGCUCGAUUCAAGUCUGCAAGAAUUGAAACAUCUCCAUCAUCCCCGGGGCAUCGCCUUUUUGCUGAGUCACAUCUCGGGACAGUCUCACUCAGACCCCCUCUGUCCUGACUUCCUGGCAGAGAAAGAUGCAGAGGGAAGGGUAGGAGCUCCAUCGGGAGAUCAGAAAUAGGGGUUGGGGGCUUCCCUGGUGGCGCAGUGGUUGAGAGUCCGCCUGCCGAUGCAGGGGA